AACCAGCUCUCCGAGUGGUAGGGAUAAUUAUUGGGCUUAAAGCGUUCGUAGCCGGCUUAGCAAGUCUCCUGUUAAAUUCAGCGACUCAAUCGUUGAGCCGCGGGGGAUACUACUAGGCUAGGAGGCGGGAGAGGUCAACGGUAUUCUCGGGGUAGGGGUGAAAUCCUAUAAUCCCGAGAGGACCACCAGUGGCGAAGGCUGUUGACUAGUACACGCUCGACGGUGAGGGACGAAAGCUGGGGGAGCGAACCGGAUUAGAUACCCGGGUAGUCCCAGCUGUAAACGAUGCGGGCUAGGUGUUGAGGUGGCUACGAGCCACUUCAGUGUCGCAGGGAAGCCAUUAAGCCCGCCGCCUGGGGAGUACGGCCGCAAGGCUGAAACUUAAAGGAAUUGGCGGGGAGCACCACAAGGCGUGAAGCUUGCGGUUC
rnacentral:rRNA from 1 species